UGAGCAAAAACCCUAAAUGCCCUUGAUCAAAUCCUUUCCCCUUUGGCUCCCCUUCAUCUGUCCUGCUCCGCUCCCGUGCACAUCGUUCAGCCACAGCUCCAUGAUUUUGAAGGCGAUAAUGGGUAUAUUCGAUUUCGAUGGCGGUGGUGACAAAGGAAAGUGAGGUGAGAUUUGGUUUUAAAGACACUGGAUGAAAGAGCGAAGACGGUUUAAAUCGUAGGGAGUUUUCUAUUUCUUGAUGAAUCCAUCAAAAUCACAAAGCUCCGCACCUCCUGGAACGUUUUCUUCUCGCCCUUUCUCUUCCUCUCAGGCGUUGCCUCACAAACAAACCAUUUUGGUUUCAUCGAACCCAAACUACUCUAGCUCCACCCCCCUUUCCGGUGCCUCAUGGUCAUGGAUUCCCUCGAUGCUCAAUUCUUUCAUUCCCUACACAGCAAUUUUCACAGCAUAACUUUUAAUUAGGCGAGAUCGGUUUUGUUCAAUCUAACUUCGAAUCUAGAUUUGAAUUCCCCCCGGCAUCUAUUUCCCUUCAAUUUUUACUUUUUGAUCCCGGGUUUCCAUCCACAUUAAGUUUCAUCAUUGGAUGGCUUCCCUUGUCAAAAGCUUCGCUAGUCAUUGGGAUUCCCCUUGUUCAUCGGUUUUGAUGUGGUACUGAUCUUCUGAUCCUUUAAUAUAAUCCUUCUAUUAAUACUUACAAAACAUUAAGUAAGUAGAUGUAGCAUUCAAAUUCAAGAUAUGACAGACUUGCAUAUUCAUUUUUUUUCCCUAAUGAUCGCCAACUUGUUUAAUUUUAAAUCUUAGGGUGAGUUCCAGAAUUACUACCUAAUAGAUGGACUAUGGUUUAAUUAUUUUCUCAUGUGCCCUGGACAUGACUUGCAGGUGUGUGGUUAAAUAGUUAUUGGCUUUAAUUACUCUAAUGUGCUCUUUUUCUUUGUUUAUCAAAUGAACCGUGUUCUGGCUUGAAACUGUCACUUUUUGUUGCCUUGGGCAGUUCAACUAGUAGCUUGGGAUAACAGGUGUAUGUAAUUUUGGGAUAACUCUGGUUUGUGCAGUUGGAGAAGAAUUCCAUGGCCUUUGUUUUGUCCAAUGCUUCUCUGGUUUGUACUGCCUUGUUUCCAUGGCAGUUAAUAUUGACUAGUUACUCUUAUUUGUUUGUACAUUCAUGGUAAUUUCCAUGUGACAAAGUCUUGGAGAAGAUGGAAGCAUUGUAUAUUUGUGAGAAUCAGGAGGCAAGGAUAAAGUGGGAGAAGAAGGUGACAAUCCAGAUGCAGAGAAGACGGAGGCUAAGAUGAAUAGAUCAUGAGUGUUGUUGGGAUGUGAUAUUUGUAAAUGUUUAUGUAUAUGAAAUUGUUUUCAUUUAUAAAGCAUACAUGAUUAUAUGCAUAUGCAUAUUUCAGGAUAUAAAAAUUCACUUUUUGUGACUCUUAUUAUAUAAAUUACGUGAUAUAAUAAAUGAAUAUUUGAAUUCAA